rnacentral:lncRNA from 1 species
CUGUACCAAAUCCGAUUUCCUCGGGGAGUCCUCAUCUCUUAUCGCGACGACUUGUCCUUCGUGUCUUAAACCCGCACUUACGAAGCUCCUAUUGAUGUGGCACGGCGGAGCCUCUUUGGCUCGUUGUCCCGACCGCGGGCCUUGGCCUUUGUUCUUCCUUUCCGAGAUGUUUUUCCUUAUGUCAGACUAUGUAGGUUUAUAGCCUAACCCGAACUUCCCGCGGUUUCCUCUGGUACUUACCAGGCUG